CCUACGGGUGGCAGCAGUGGGGGAUAUUGCACAAUGGGGGGAACCCUGAUGCAGCGACGCCGCGUGGGUGAAGGAGUGCUUCGGCAUGUAAAGCCCUAUCGGCAGGGAAGAAGCAAGACGGUACCUGACUAAGAAGCCCCGGCUAACUACGUGCCAGCAGCCGCGGUAAUACGGAGGGGGCGAGCGUUAUCCGGAUUCACUGGGUGUAAAGGGAGCGUAGGCGGCUAUGCCAGCCAGGGGUGAAAGCCCGGGGCCCAACCCCGGGACUGCCCUUGGAACUGUGCGGCUAGAGUGCGGGAGGGGCAGGCGGAAUGCCUGGUGUAGCGGUGAAAUGCGUAGAGAUCAGGAGGAACACCGGCGGCGAAGGCGGCCUGCUGGACCGCGACUGACGUUGAGGCUCGAAAGCGUGGGGAGCGAACAGGAUUAGAUACCCUAGUAGUC
rnacentral:rRNA from 1 species